rnacentral:rRNA from 1 species
AAUACAGUACUUGUUAUGCCUUAUUAAAAAAAAGUUUUAUAACAUAAGGAAUUAUAACAAAGAAGCAACACAUAAAAUAUGACAUUCAUAUUUUUUAGUGUGUAUCAAUCGAGUUUCUGACCUAUCAGCUUUUGAUGUUAGGAUAUGGGCCUACCAUGGUGACCACGGGUGACGGGGAAUCAGGGUUCGAUUCCGGAGAGGGAGCCUGAGAAACGGCUACCACAUCCAAGGAAGGCAGCAGGCGCGCAAAUUACCCAAUUCUAAAGAAGAGAGGUAGUGACAAGAAAUAAUAGGACAAGACUAAUUUUUUAGUUUUGUAUCUGUGCUGAUAGAAUUUUAAAACCAUUCUAAAAUUCCAUUGGAGGGCAAGUCUGGUGCCAGCAGCCGCGGUAAUUCCAGCUCCAAUAGCGUAUAUUAAAGUUGCUGCAGUUAAAAAGCUCGUAGUUGGAUUUCAAA